rnacentral:rRNA from 1 species
ACUCCUACGGGAGGCAGCAGUAGGGAAUCUUCCACAAUGGGCGCAAGCCUGAUGGAGCAACACCGCGUGAGUGAAGAAGGGUUUCGGCUCGUAAAGCUCUGUUGUUAAAGAAGAACACGUAUGAGAGUAACUGUUCAUACGUUGACGGUAUUUAACCAGAAAGUCACGGCUAACUACGUGCCAGUAGCCGCGGUAAUACGUAGGUGGCAAGCGUUAUCCGGAUUUAUUGGGGCGUAAAGAGAGUGCAGGCGGUUUUCUAAGUCUGAUGUGAAAGCCUUCGGCUUAACCGGAGAAGUGCAUCGGAAACUGGAUAACUUGAGUGCAGAAGAGGGUAGUGGAACUCCAUGUGUAGCGGUGGAAUGCGUAGAUAUAUGGAAGAACACCAGUGGCGAAGGCGGCUACCUGGUCUGCAACUGACGCUGAGACUCGAAAGCAUGGGUAGCGAACAGGAUUAGAUACCCUGGUAGGAUAGCGAGUCGUAGG